AACGUGCAGCGCGAACUGGGGUGCUUGAGUACGAAGAGGGAAGGCGGAACUCGUGGUGUAGCGGUGAAAUGCUUAGAUAUCACGAGGAACUCCGAUCGCGAAGGCAGCUUUCCGUUUCGGAACUGACGCUGAGGCUCGAAAGUGCGGGUAUCGAACAGGAUUAGAUACCCUGGUAGUCCGCACGGUAAACGAUGGAUGCUCGCUGUUGGAUAUUUUUAUUCAGUGGCUAAGUGAAAACGUUAAGCAUCCCACCUGGGGAGUACGCCGGCAACGGUGAAACUCAAAGGAAUUGACGGGGGCCCGCACAAGCGGAGGAACAUGUGGUUUAAUUCGAUGAUACGCGAGGAACCUUACCCGGGCUUGAAUUGCAGCUGAACGAUCCAGAGAUGGUGAGGCCCUUCGGGGCAGCUGUGAAGGUGCUGCAUGGUUGUCGUCAGCUCGUGCCGUGAGGUGUCGGCUUAAGUGCCAUAACGAGCGCAACCCCUCUCCGCAGUUGCCAUCGGUUGAUGCCGGGCACUCUGCGGACACUGCUUCCGCAAGGAGUGAGGAAGGUGGGGAUGACGUCAAAUCAGCACGGCCCUUACGUCCGGGGCUACACACGUGUUACAAUGGCGCGUACAGAGUGUCGGUGCUGUGCAAACAGUAUCUAAUCAAUAAAACGCGUCCCAGUUCGGACCGGGGUCUGCAACCCGACCCCGCGAAGCUGGAUUCGCUAGUAAUCGCGCAUCAGCCAUGGCGCGGUGAAUACGUUCCCGGGCCUUGUACACACCGCCCGUCAAGCCAUGAAAGCCGGGGGCGCCUGAAGUCCGUGACCGCAAGGAUCGGCCUAGGGCGAGACCGGUGAUUGGGGCUAAGUCGUAACAAGGUAACC
rnacentral:rRNA from 1 species